rnacentral:rRNA from 3 species
ACACUAACUGGAGGACCGAACCGACUAAUGUUGAAAAAUUAGCGGAUGACCUGUGGCUGGGGGUGAAAGGCCAAUCAAACCGGGAGAUAGCUGGUUCUCCCCGAAAGCUAUUUAGGUAGCGCCUCGUGAAUUCAUCUCCGGGGGUAGAGCACUGUUUCGGCUAGGGGGCCAUCCCGGCUUACCAACCCGAUGCAAACUGCGAAUACCGGAGAAUGUUAUCACGGGAGACACACGGCGGGUGCUAACGUCCGUCGUGAAGAGGGAAACAACCCAGACCGCCAGCUAAGGUCCCAAAGUCAUGGUUAAGUGGGAAACGAUGUGGGAAGGCCCAGACAGCCAGGAUGUUGGCUUAGAAGCAGCCAUCAUUUAAAGAAAGCGUAAUAGCUCACUGGUCGAGUCGGCCUGCGCGGAAGAUGUAACGGGGCUAAACCAUGCACCGAAGCUGCGGCAGCGACACUGUGUGUUGUUGGGUAGGGGAGCGUUCUGUAAGCCUGUGAAGGUGUGUCGUGAGGC